AGAUUGUGGAAAACUGGUGAUAGCUUGUUGGUUUCCUGCAUUCCUGUGGGAGAACGGUACUAAGCUACCUGCUCCUGGCUUCAUUUGACCCAGCUGCCGUCUUGGAACCUGCCAACUCUUGGCUGGCUGUGGCUUUAAUUCCACCUUCCCCCAUGAGCAGCAAAGAGAACUAGCCAAGAAGUUGCAGCUCAUCUGAGCCUCCCUCAUGGAUGGCAGAGGGCUCAGCAUUUGGGUUAUCAUCAUCUGCUCCCUCCCAGGUACAUGAACAGGAAGCUGGAUCCAAAGUGGAGCAGCUGGGACUCCAACUGAUCCUCUGGUAUGGGGUGUG